rnacentral:rRNA from 1 species
AGCAGCCGCGGUAAUUCCAGCUCCAAUAGCGUAUAUUAAAGUUGCUGCAGUUAAAAAGCUCGUAGUUGAAUUUCGGGACCAAUAUGUCGGUCGUGCUUYKGUACGUACUGAUAUWAUUGGUUUCUCCCUUCUGAAGAACCUUGAUGUCAUUAAUUUGGUGUCUUGGGGAAUCAGGACUGUUACUUUGAAAAAAUUAGAGUGUUUAAAGCAGGCUCGCGCUUGAAUACAUUAGCAUGGAAUAAUGAAAUAGGACGUUUGAUUCUAUUUUGUUGGUUUCUAGGAUCGACGUAAUGAUUAAUAGGGAUAGUUGGGGGCAUUAGUAUUCAAUUGUCAGAGGUGAAAUUCUUGGAUUUAUUGAAGACUAACUACUGCGAAAGCAUUUGCCAAGGAUGUUUUCAUUAAUCAAGAACGAAAGUUAGGGGAUCGAAGACGAUCAGAUACCGUCGUAGUCUUAACCAUAAACUAUGCCGACUAGGGAUCGGAUGA